rnacentral:ncRNA from 1 species
GCUGGAGUUGCGCGGCGCGUAGUUGAUGAACACAAACCCCCGCGCCUGAUCAAUCGUGUGAAACAGCGGGUUCCAGUCAAACAUCGCCAGCAUGAACCCCGGCAAUGUAUUGGCCACAAACAUCUUGCCCGAAGCAAUCAUAUUGGCCCGCG